AGAUGUGGGGUUAAGUCCCGCAACGAGCGCAACCCCUGUCGUUAGUUGCCAGCAUUCAGUUGGGGACUCUAACGAGACUGCCAGUGACAAACUGGAGGAAGGUGGGGAUGACGUCAAAUCAUCAUGCCCCUUAUGACCUGGGCUACACACGUGCUACAAUGGUUGGUACAAAGAGAAGCGAAGCGGUGACGUGGAGCAAACCUCAUAAAGCCAAUCUCAGUUCGGAUUGUAGGCUGCAACUCGCCUACAUGAAGUUGGAAUCGCUAGUAAUCGCGAAUCAGCAUGUCGCGGUGAAUACGUUCCCGGGCCUUGUACACACCGCCCGUCACACCACGAGAGUUUACAACACCCGAAGUCAGUGGCCUAACCGCAAGGAGGGAGCUGCCUAAGGUGGGGUAGAUGAUUGGGGUGAAGUCGUAACAAGGUAUCCCUACCGGAAGGUGGGGAUGGAUCACCUCCUUUCUAUGGAGA
rnacentral:rRNA from 1 species